AGGCAGUGAGGAUGAUGUCAAUACCAUCAAACUAUGAAAGCUUUAAGGCUUGUAGAUGUCAUAAGAAAUGAUUUCUCUUUGAUCCC